rnacentral:rRNA from 1 species
AGGACGAACGCUGGCGGCGUGCUUAACACAUGCAAGUCGAGCGGAAAGGCCCUUCGGGGUACUCGAGCGGCGAACGGGUGAGUAACACGUGAGCAACCUGCCCUUAGCUCCGGGAUAGCUCCGGGAAACCGGAAUUAAUACCGGAUAUGACCUAGGCCGACAUCGGCUGUGGUGGAAAGUUUUUCGGCUGGGGAUGGACUCGCGGCCUAUCAGCUUGUUGGUGGGGUAAUGGCCUACCAAGGCGACGACGGGUAGCCGGCCUGAGAGGGCGACCGGCCACACUGGGACUGAGACACGGCCCAGACUCCUACGGGAGGUAGCAGUGGGGAAUCUUGCGCAAUGGGCGAAAGCCUGACGCAGCGACGCCGCGUGGGGGAUGAAGGCCUUCGGGUUGUAACCCUUUCAGCAGGGACGAAGCGAAAGUGACGGUACCUGCAGAAGAAGCGCCGGCUAACUACGCGCCAGCAGCCGC